rnacentral:piRNA from 1 species
UAAGUGCUUGGACCAUUUCCUGUUGUUGGG